GUCUCCAUACACGCAUAUAUACACACGCACACAAAAAAAAAACGGUAGCAUGCACGGGUUGUGAGCUUGCCAAGCUGUGCUCCCUUCUCUUGUAUAAGGGUUGUCAGUGUCUCUUGCCCCUUCAACCCCUCACCUCCCAUCCCACCUCUUUUCUCUUCUAGAUGCUCCGCAACUCAGCUGUGCGGUGGGUGUGGCUCGGCGGCUCCGGCUCCUCUCCGGCGCUAGGGCUCGACCUUCGCUCUCCGGCAGGACAGUUCGUAAACGUCGUUCCGGAGGGCAUGCAACCGCGGCGUAUGGCAGGUCACUUCAACCCCACGCCGCAGGCGAACAGCCUCGCCGCGACUCACUACGCGCACGCACCGGAGUUGCGGCACAUGGCCGAUGGGGCCGCCAUGUCGCUCAGCGGCCAGCGCAUACCUUUACUGAAGCCUACACUCUCCAAGUGGUCUCGGAAGCUCCGCUCCGACAUCUACGAUGAACUGCUGAAGCUGCCGCUGCGCUACACGCUGCACGACUUCCGCGCGCUGCAGGCACACAUCCACGCUGUCCCGGACACCGCCCCCAAUGCAAGCGGCACUGCUGCUGCCGGAGAGCGGCUGCCACCUGGUGUGUACCACGCCUCCAGCGGCCUCUCCUCCGCGUCGCCGGACGCGCCGGCGUACUACGCGGUGGCAGGCCGCGACUCAGCGGUCGGGUACGCGCCACCGCUCGGCCCCGCGGACCCGGUCGACGUGAUCCCCUUCUUUGUGCACCGCAGCAGCAACGGCCAUCUCCCUGGCAAGGUCUACUCCAUGAACGCCAAGACGCUCAUGCCGGCCUUUUAUAUGCGGAUCCAGAACAUCGAGGGUGACAUGUUCCGCUUCGAGGAGGAGCUGAUGAAGAUCUUUCCGACCAAGAAGAUUUUUGUGCGCAGCCACUCCGUGUACGUGUACAAUGUGAACUUGGAUGGCCGUGCUGUGCUGCACCACUGGCUGCUGGGGCUAGGGUUUUGAGUUUGCAAGAAAAAAAAAGUAAUAAUAAGAAAAACAAAGGUGGUGCGGUCCGCGCAUGCCUAAGAGAGGCAUGUCUGUGCACGUGUGUGUGUGUGUGUGUGCGUUGGUCGGAGAUGAAGAGGGAUGCUCGUGCCAUUUCGAUACGGCCUCUGUGCCAUCUCUCUCGCGCGCGACUCCUUCCUCUUCGUCACGGUUAAGGUUCACAGCUAUCCUCGGAGCCCAUCGACGGAAGCACGAGCACGCAAGCAUACGUUGGUUUGAUGCAUGCAGGAGCACAUUACGAGAACUGCGUCAGAAGUCUCUCCCUCUCUCUGGUUGCGUGUUGUAGUAAUAUGUCUGUGCCCGAGUAACGCCGGCCAGAGUCCCUUCCACGAAUCGUCGGUGACCGCCGAGCGGGGUACGACGCAGGCAGACCGUGCGUGAGCGAGGGGGGAGGGAAGAGAUGCCGUUUACGGCGUGAGUGGAUGCAUCACAGGCGCGCUCAAAUCACAGCGAGGCAUCUGAGAGCACGUUGGGGUAGGGCGAAAGGGGACGAGUGCACAAGAGUUGCCUCACAACGACGAAGUUCAACUGCCUCACCUUCGCUCCACGGACUCUUACUGCCCUCUUUCCGUAUUCCGUGCCUCGCCUCUUGCCCGUCAACUUCAAAGGUGCCGCCACGCAUGCAUGUGCGUCUGCGUACUUCUCUCGCUCUCUUUCCUGGUCCACCUUCUCUCCCUCUGCUGUAUAUGUCUUGCACCCUUGACAUCACCGUCAUCAUUAACGGCGCACCUCUCUCUCCAACACACACGCGCACACAAACGAGCACAUCCGUCACCACCCACAUCAUCGCCAG
rnacentral:misc_RNA from 1 species